rnacentral:siRNA from 1 species
GAUUGCGAAAACUCUACGAUGCA